ensembl:ncRNA K02A4.8 ncRNA
CAUAUCAGAUUUCACUGAUCACAGAGAAGAGGUCACAGAGGUGAAAAAGACAGGUGACGGUGAUUACAUCAUCUUUGAAAAUCUUCAAAAGUUAUCGCCCGCACAACGGAUAGAAAUGUGUGGCAGACCGGCG